rnacentral:rRNA from 1 species
UGGGGAAUAUUGCACAAUGGGCGCAAGCCUGAUGCAGCCAUGCCGCGUGUGUGAAGAAGGCCUUCGGGUUGUAAAGCACUUUCAGCGAGGAGGAAGGGUUCAGUGUUAAUAGCACUGUUCAUUGACGUUACUCGCAGAAGAAGCACCGGCUAACUCCGUGCCAGCAGCCGCGGUAAUACGGAGGGUGCAAGCGUUAAUCGGAAUUACUGGGCGUAAAGCGCACGCAGGCGGUUUGUUAAGUCAGAUGUGAAAUCCCCGCGCUUAACGUGGGAACUGCAUUUGAAACUGGCAAGCUAGAGUCUUGUAGAGGGGGGUAGAAUUCCAGGUGUAGCGGUGAAAUGCGUAGAGAUCUGGAGGAAUACCGGUGGCGAAGGCGGCCCCCUGGACAAAGACUGACGCUCAGGUGCG